rnacentral:rRNA from 1 species
AACGUCGUGAGACAGUUCGGUCUCUAUCUAUCGUGGGCGUUGGAGAUUUGAGUGGCCCUGACACUAGUACGAGAGGACCGUGUCGGACCGACCUCUGGUCUGCCGGUUGUGCCGCCAGGUGCACCGCCGGGUAGCCAUGUCGGGAUCGGAUAAGCGCUGAAAGCAUCUAAGUGCGAAGCCGACCGCAAGAUUAGAUCUCCUCAUAAGGGUCGUCCGAGACGAGGACGUCGAUAGGACGCAGGUGUAAAGACGGCGACGUCAAAGCCGAGCGUUACUAAUUGCCCGAAACUUUCAUCGCA